rnacentral:rRNA from 1 species
GACGAACGCUGGCGGCGUGCCUAAUACAUGCAAGUAGAACGCACAGUUUAUACCGUAGCUUGCUACACCAUAGACUGUGAGUUGCGAACGGGUGAGUAACGCGUAGGUAACCUGCCUGGUAGCGGGGGAUAACUAUUGGAAACGAUAGCUAAUACCGCAUAAUAUUGAUUAUUGCAUGAUAAUUGAUUGAAAGAUGCUAUUGCAUCACUACCAGAUGGACCUGCGUUGUAUUAGCUAGUAGGUGAGGUAACGGCUCACCUAGGCGACGAUACAUAGCCGACCUGAGAGGGUGAUCGGCCACACUGGGACUGAGACACGGCCCAGACUCCUACGGGAGGCAGCAGUAGGGAAUCUUCGGCAAUGGACGAAAGUCUGACCGAGCAACGCCGCGUGAGUGAAGAAGGUUUUCGGAUCGUAAAGCUCUGUUGUAAGAGAAGAACAGGUGUGAGAGUGGAAAGUUCACACUGUGACGGUAUCUUACCAGAAAGGGACGGCUAACUACGUG